rnacentral:rRNA from 1 species
AAAGGUAAGCUACUAAGAGCGAAUGGUGGAUGCCUUGACUGGUAAAGGCGAUGAAGGACGUACUAGACUGCGAUAAGCUACGGGGAGCUGUCAAGAAGCUUUGAUCCGUAGAUUUCCGAAUGGGGCAACCCAAUGUAUAGAGAUAUACAUUACCUAUAUAGGAGCGAACGAGGGGAAUUGAAACAUCUUAGUACCCUCAGGAAAAGAAAUCAAUAGAGAUUGCGUCAGUAGCGGCGAGCGAAAGCGCAAGAGGGCAAACCCAGUGCUUGCACUGGGGGUUGUAGGACUGCAAUGUGCAAGAGGUAAGUUUAGCAGAACAUUCUGGAAAGUAUAACCAUAGAGGGUGAUAGUCCCGUAUGCGAAAAACAAACCUUAGCUAGCAGUAUCCUGAGUAGGGCGGGACACGAGGAAUCCUGUCUGAAUCCGGGUCGACCACGAUCCAACCCUAAAUACUAAUACCAGAUCGAUAGUGCACAAGUACCGUGAGGGAAAGGUGAAAAGAACUGAGGUGAUCAGAGUGAAAUAGAACCUGAAACCAUUUGCUUACAAUCAUUCAGAGCCCUAUGUAGCAAUACAGGGUGAUGGACUGCCUUUUGCAUAAUGAGCCUGCGAGUUGUGGUGUCUGGCAAGGUUAAGCAAACGCGAAGCCGUAGCGAAAGCGAGUCUGAAUAGGGCGCUUAGUCAGAUGCUGCAGACCCGAAACGAAGUGAUCUAUCCAUGAGCAAGUUGAAGCUAGUGUAAGAACUAGUGGAGGACUGAACCCAUAGGCGUUGAAAAGCCCCGGGAUGACUUGUGGAUAGGGGUGAAAGGCCAAUCAAACUUCGUGAUAGCUGGUUCUCUCCGA